CUCUCUCAAUUGAACCUACCAUCUUAUUGAACGUUACACAUGUUUCACGCUUAAAACUUAGAAGAAGCAAUCAAAAUUAGCAAACACCCUUGCUCUUUUAGGAUUCUAAAAAUAGAACAAUUGCGUAUUUUGGUUAACAAAGUAGGCAAAAAGUACUUGAGUGAAAUGAUCUGUAUGGUAGGAUCAUUUUCUUAUUUUUGUGGUUUCAGUAUGAUCUUAUUAAGAACUUCUGUAUGGUAGGAUCAUUGUCUUAUUUUUGUGGUUUCAGUAUCGUCUUAUUAAAAAGUUUUCUAUUAAUUGCUUACUAGUUUGAGUCACGACUGCUCAUCGGGCUGGACUCGAUUUCCAUCAAGUCGGUUAAAUUCCAGCCCUGAAUGGGCCCGAAAAUUUGUGCGUGGGGCCCGGCAUCUCUCCCUCCACUCUCGCUGUCUCUCCCUCUCUCUCCUUCAUAUCCAGAUCUCCCCCAUGGUGCCAUCUUGAGAGGGCACAGGGUGUUUUACAAAGAGAGAGAAGAUGAAGAAAGCUGUGGCCUUGGAGAGAGAAACCUGCAACUUUUUGGUUUAGAGAGACCUGCAACUUUAGUUCUGGAGGAUACUAAGAAUUAGUAUAGAGACAGAUAAUGACUGUAGUCCCUGAAGGAAUCUAAAAAAAAUUCGUUGAGAGAUAAAAGAGAACCGGUUGCGCGUGGAUUCUAGAGAGAGAAAGACUGCGAGGGUGGCUGGUUGCAGAUGGGGUUUUAGAGAGAAGAGAGAGAGAGAGAAUGUGGUGAAUCAGGGGCAGGUGGGGACAUGGACACCCUCAUCUGACAACCCAAUUUGAGUCUCUUUGCUGAUUUUGCUUUUAUACGAGCGUAGGGAGAUGGUGAAUUGCUCGAGAAAACUCCAUGGAUUUGGUUUCUGGACCGCUUUCUCUCUCUUGAGCUCCACCCACCAUGUCUUUCUCUUGCUCUGCUUUCCUCUCUCUCUCUAAACGAGCUUAUUCUUCCUCUUCGUCCUUUCUUUCUCAAGAACACCAAUCCUUUUCUCUCUCUAGAACGCCUUCUCCCCUUUCUCUAUCUAGAUCGCCACCCCCUGUGGGUUUGGUUUUCUAGCCAUUGACGACCCUAAUAUAUUCUUCUCUUUCUAGAUCACCACCCAUACCACAACUACAAAGUUUCUCCUUCUCUCUAAAACACCACCCAUAUCACAUUUAUGCAUGGCUAGUCUCUAUACUCUCUGAUCUCUCUCACUAAUGAGGGCCCUUAGAGAGAGAAACAGGGGAAAGAGGAGAGAGAAGUAGGGGUUUUUUACCUUUUAAUGUUACUGUAUGUUGUAUUUGAAUUUUCUUGGCAAAUAUUGUGAACAUGAUGUUUGCUGUUCUCAUGGAUAACUCUUGUUCAGAAAAAAAAAAUUCUUAAAAAUAAAUACAACAUUAGUAAAAUUCUAUUUUAAAUUUUAUUAUUACUAAGCACAAUUAAACCCACUGUUAUUAAAUUCAAAAACAGUCUAGGUAUGAAGCAGUUUGGUACUGGCAAUGAAGCUCCCCCAGAAACAGGCAUGGCUGAUGGCUCGAUGUUAGAAGUAGCCUACACUGAAACUGCCAAAAUAUAUGCAGAUUUCUUGACCUACACUAGGAUUUGGGCAUUUUUUCUUGACAAAUAAAGGUCUAACCUAAACUUACUUUGGAGAGUUUUAUUGUCCUACGGAAAAUGUUGCCUGCAAUUAUUUGAUUUACUUAAUUAUCAUUUCCUAUAGAUAAGUGCAUUCAUGAGUUCUUAACAAAAAGUUUUUUUGGGGGGAGGGGAGAGAGAGAGAGAGAGAGAGAGAGGAGUAUUCGUCGACGAGUAGGUUGGGUUUAGGUAACGUACUAGUAAGGUUAAACGUUUACCACCUUUACGUUUUUUACGUUUUUUACCUACCCUUUAAANNNNNNNNNNNNNNNNNNNNGUUACGUCGUCGUACUAAUUAUUUAGUUAUUUAACUUUAACUUAUUACUACUUACUUACUAGUAGUAGUAGCUAUCUAUAGUAGUUACGUUAACGUUAAAGGGUUUAGGGGUAGGGAGGAGAGAGAGAGAGAGAGAGAGAGGAGAUUCUCGCAGAGUGGUUUGGUAAGUCAUGAAAGUUUCACCAUUUCGUUUUUUAUCCCACUUUUAAAUUUUUAGGUCCGGUCACAAUGUAAAUGAGAUUCUAAAUAGUUAAAUAAAACGAGUGGGUUUUGGAUCUUGGACAUUUUUUACUGCAUAUUGAUUGGAAGUUUAGGACAUUUCUAAAUUUUGGGAAUGGGGUUGAAGUCAAGGUGGUGCUGGUGGUGGCACCACUUGUGAAGCAGCUAUCAGUAUCGGUUUCCAUUCUUACCAAUGCUAACCUCUUUCGAAAACUACUACCAGUUUCAAAAAUUGCUAACCCACUACUAGUAGUUAAUGUUCAAAAAAAAAAAAAACAACCCAUGAAAUAUCUCUGAAGCAGUAUACAUGCUUCACGCAAAGAGAAUGUUUGGCACAAAGUUUAUGUGCCUCGACACUCCGUUAUAUAUUGCAAGGCUAACAAUAACAAAAAAGUACAUCCAAUUCCUAUUCAUGCUUUUCUUGAUUCAGGAUUUUCCAGUUUUAGUUUGGCUUCUCUAUUCUUUUGGUUUAUAUUAAGGAUUUGGACUAUGUAGUUUUCUCCCAAAUUUUAGUUGGCCUUUCUCAGAGUUCUACUUGUGUUUGAAGGACUGCAUUGAUUCUGGCAAUUUGGGUUGUGUAGAUCUCAAACUGGGUAUUGCUGCUGUGUUUUUUAGAUUUCGGAUUUGACUUUAUUCUGGUUCAUGCUUUUGAUAUAAGGUUAUGCUUUUCCUCAUUGGUUCUUGUUCAGACUACAGUUGCUUAACCGUUGCAGAUAGUUCUUUGAUUUUUGGUUAUAUAAGAUCUCAAACUGGGUUUUUUAGAUUGAUUAGUCUCUUGGAUUUUAAUUAUUUCAGGUUCAAUCUCUUGAAUUGGUAUUAGAAUACUGGCUUCUUCCUCUUUGAGUUCUUCAAUUUUAUAUUUAGUGUAUCUUACAUUUUGAAUUUUUCUUUUUCAAACUAGUUAGCUCACUUUGGAUUUCAGCCCAUAGGAUCAGGAGAACUCAAACCUCCAGUUUUGCAGAUUAGCUUCAAACUAAUUACAAUGUUCAUUUGAAGCUGGUAGGGUUUGAGGUUAAACUAGAAAUGUUUAGAGUUUUCAUGUCUGUUAUUUUGCAGAAAACAUAUUGGUUAUUCCAAAUGGUUUUCUCACUUUUUCAAGUAGUAGGAUUUGACUUUAUGCUAGAAAAGAUUGGAGAGAUCAUCCCUCUGAUUUUGCAGGUUGGGUUCCAGGAAUCCAAACCGGUUGUUUCACUUUGAGUUCAUGCUAGUAGAAUCAGGAGACAUCAGAAUGCUGGUUUUGCUUAUAGGUCCAAACCGCAAGUAUUUCAUUUUGGUUUCAAGCCAGUAAGAAUUUGAGUUUAAGCUCAUAGGAUUUGGGCGCAUCAGACUCUGUUCUUGCUCUUUGGGAUUCUAUCUGGUUUUGUCAGUCAUCGUUUUCUUUGAUCACUUGCCAUGAGAUUAAGCUAUGCUUUCCAUAAGGAAGUGGUAGAAUUUGUUCCUGUAUCAUGGCUAUAUGAAACCAUAUGUGAUUUCAUAUGGUUGGUUCCUGCUCUCCAUUCGCCUAAUUCCACAACACAUUGCAUUUAUCUUUGAUGGGAAUCAGUGGUUUUCCCCCGAUCACAGCCUUAAUGAGGGUUAUCAAGGCUAUAAGAAACCAUCUUUGAUUUCUUAUGGUUGUGUGCAUCUCUUGAUUGUAAUAUUUAAUAUGGUCUCUGAGGAUUAAAGUUUUGAUUUUAUUCAAAUUCUUCUCAGAGAUCUUCUUUUAUUUUUGUACUCUGUUUGUUCCUUCCUUUUUUAUCAAUAAUUUUUCAUACUCAUGAGUUUUUUGUGAAUCAAGAUUUUUUCUUUUUUUUGUAGAAUUUUCAAAUUUCCCUUUACCCUUUCAUCUAGGUUCCUUUUUCUCUUUUUGUAAGAUUUUGAUUUAUGCAAAACAGGCCUUUUUCAACUAUUCUUCAUGUUUAUGGUUAGAAUUUGAGUUCAUAAACUCCCUAUUUUAGUUUGGUUUUAAGAGUUCUCAGAAAGUUGGAUUUGAUCUGGUAUUGAGGACUUAGAACUUGGUUUUUGACUUUUGCAUCUUUUUCGGAUUCUUCUUCCCUUCUUCUUUAGAUUUUGAAUAUGACAAAUUUACGUUUAUACCCCCCACAAUUUUUUUAUUGACAAAAUACCCCAAUUUUUGUUUUUUACAGGCAUAUCUCUUUUUUUUCCUUUUUGUUGAAUCCAAAGUCAUAUCCAUUUAUAUGACUUCAGAUCUUCAAGAUCAAGUCAUACUUGGCUUCGGAUCUUCAAGAUCCGAAGUGGUGGCAAACUAGGGAGAAAAAAAAAACGAUUGAGGCAAGAAAGAGUAUAUGGGUAUGACUUUAGAUCUUGAAAAUCCGAAAUAGUAGCAAAUUAAUAAUAAAAUAAAGUACAGAGGGAGAUUUUUUUAAUAAUGGAAAUUGUUGGGGAUAUAUGUAUAAAUUUCUCUUUGAAUUUUUAAUUCAGUAAAAAACAAAACUUUGGGGAGAUUUUUAUAAUAAAGGAAAGUGUGGGGAUUAUAUGCAUAAGUUUCUUUUUAAAUUUUUAAUUUUGUCUUUUGCAGCUUGUGUUUUGAGAUUUCAGCUUUUCUUGUUUAUAUUGUGAUUCUUUGUUGGUUUUCAUCUAGCUGUAACUUCUUUGAAAUGUUCUUUCUUCUUGUAUUAGUUUUUCCAAAUUCCCAAUCAAAAGAAGGAAAAAAGGUCUCCACAGUCAUUGCAUCAAUAUUUUCUGGUUUCUGAAAUUGGUAAGACUUUCACGUUCUGAUUCUCUUAUUUUCAUGUGACUGCAUUUGGGGUUUUGCAGAUAAGGAGACUCCAUUCAAACUAGCAAAGCAACUUCUUCUAAGUUUUCAAGAUUGCACUAGUAAUUCUACACCUUGAUCUUCUGAAUUCAAAUUGGUUCAUUCUACACCUUGAUCUUCUGAAUUCAAAUUGGUUCAUUCACUUGAGACUAAGCUACUAGAAACCCGACUUACUAGACCUCCAGCUCAUUCACCUCAGAAUAAAGCUAAGGAAUCGUUUCCUAGGUUUUGAGGUCAUUCCUGAACUUGGAUCUUCUCAAUAUUGGUUCCUUCUCACUAAGACUUUGCUACUAGAAACCAGAUUCUGAUCCUCGGUCUAGCUUAUUCACCUUAUAACA
rnacentral:lncRNA from 1 species